rnacentral:rRNA from 1 species
CAGAACGAACGCUGGCGACAGGCCUCAAACAUGCAAGGUCUAGGGGGUGUAGCAAUACAUCACCGGCGGACGGGUGCGUAACGCGUGGGAAUAUACCUAUCGAUUCGGAACAACUGAGGGAAACUUCAGCUAAUACCGAAUACGUCCUAACGGAGAAAGAUUUAUCGUCGAUAGAUUAGCCCGCGUUCGAUUAGCUAGUUGGUGGGGGUAAACGGGCCCACCCAAGGCGACGAUCGAUAGCUGUUCUGAGAGGAAGAUCAGCCACACUGGGACUGAGACACGGCCCAGACUCCUACGGGAGGCAGCAGUUGGGAAUCUUGGACAAUGGGGGAAACCCUGAUCCAGCCAUGCCGCGUGAGUGAUGAAGGCCUUCGGGUUGUAAAACUCUUUCGCGCACGACGAUAAUGACGGUAGUGCGAGAAGAAGCUCCGGCUAACUUCGUG